ensembl:lncRNA novel transcript
GGUAUUGAUAAAGGAACAGGGCCUUCCAUUGCUCUUUUCUAGGUGGGCAGCCUAUAGGAAAGGGGAUUUACAACAGUGGAAAGGAGCAGUAAAAGUGCUGUGGUUAACGCGAAUCACAUGCCCCCAGAACAGCCUGUGAGUCGACUAAAAAUGGAAAGAACACGAGUAUCGAAUUGUUGGGAAGUGAAUACAAAUUAGAUGACAACUGUUCAUGUCCCUCCAUUUCCUCUCACAUCCAACGAGGGCAGUAUUCUUCACUUCUACUUCCCAGAAACAGUAAGGAGAUUAAUUAGCACCUGUGAAGGUUUUGUACUAUCUUGGCUCAGAGAAAAGUAAUGGUGCCUUAUUCUUCGAGUAUUGUUUCAUUUGAAUCAUAAAUAGGGAAACUUAUUUUUUUAACUAAAAGUAUAACUUCUAAAAAUUACUGAAUUCAAGCAGGAUUAAAAAACGACUCUACUGGGUUUUCCACACUAUCAAAGACUUCUUUUGUCUUAACUAUUACUCUGGAGAAUGUCAGAUGCAACAUGGUUUCCUUUUUGUACAAAGGGAAAACAUACUGAAGCAUGAUUUUAAAAGAAUUUCAGAAGGAGCUGUAAAACAAAGUCACAUCGAACAUUGAGCACUGAUAUUAUUCUUUAGAGAGUUGAUGUCUAGGCUAAUGCACUGUGACCCGAGGAUUUGUUUUCAAGUUAGGGCAAUGGUUCUCAAACUUUAACAAUAGGACAUUUCAAAUAACCCAGAAAGACAGAUCCCCAGGGAAAUGCCUGACGAUUAUUUCCAAAUUCUUGACUAACCUGGGGCUUUCUCUCCCUUGGACUGCUGGAUGUCUCCUGCUGCUCAGGUGAUGUGAUUGCCCACAAGGUCCUGACGAGUCCUCUGUAAACAAAAUUCAAAGAAGAGGACUUGCUCAACACACCUGCCACAACUCACCUGCAGGGUCUAUCAAACUGAGUUCCUGAUUCAGUAAAUCCAGGGAGGGGACUGACGAUUUGAAUUUCUAACAAGCUCCAGGUGAACUGCUCUCUGAAGAUCAGAAUUUGAGAAAGACUAAAUUAGCCAGUUCAGUGGUUUCCAAACUGGAGUCUUUUAUCUACCCAGAGAAUUUUUUGUUUGUUUAAAUGCAGAUUCCCAAGUCUACCCUGAGUUUACAGAAUCAAAAUUUCCAGGGUGCAAGACUUAAUCACUUGCACUGCUUUUAAGCUCAGCAAGUAUAUCAGUCCAUUUUGUAUAUCAGUCCAUUUUGAUACUGCUAUGAAGAACUGCCCGCAACUAGGUAAUUUAUGAAGGAAAGAGGUUUAAUGGACUCACAGUUCAACAUGGCUGGGGAGGCCUCAAGAAAAGCAGUCAUGGCAGAAAAGGAAGCAAGACACCUUCCUCACAAGGAACAGGAAAGGAAAGCGCCCAGUGAAGGGGGAAGAGCCUCUUAUACAAUCAUCAGAUCUCGCGAGAACUCACUCACUAGAAACUUGCCAGGAAACCACCUCCAUGAUUCAAUUACUUCCACCUGGUCUCUCCCUUGACAUGUGGGAAUUAUGAGGAAGGCAAUUCAAGAUGAAAUAUUGGGUGGAGACACAGCCAAACAUCACCUUGGGGCACAGGCUCAAAAACAGUCCACAGGAUACCAUCACUGAGCUGGAAUACAACAUGGGGCAUCUGAAAAGAAGAACCAAAAUAGAUGCCUGGUCUUCAACUAAAUUACCUGUUCAUCUUUUUCCAGGAAACCUUGGAACACCAAGGAAUCAGCAGUCAAACGAGCUCAGUCUCUCAGAACACAUGUGGGGGAAUUGAGUAUUUCAACUUUUAGGUAGACAGUUUCUACAAGCUAAAUAGUGGAACGAAAGGAGCCAAAUAAAGAAGUUAUAAAA